rnacentral:misc_RNA from 1 species
CCAGAGAUGGCGGGCCCCGCGCCCCCGUCCCCAACCCUUUGUUGACCAAACCACUUUUGCCUCGGGGGCAGAGCGGCCUCCGCCGCCCCCGGUGGACCAUUCAACCCUGUCUCUGUACGUCGGAGUCUUUGAGGGAAAUGUCAAUUA